rnacentral:pre_miRNA from 1 species
AGCAUACUCCCUCCGUCCGGAAAAACUUGUCCCAAGCUUGUUCCUCAAAUGGAUGUAUCUAGCACUAACUUGGUGCUAGAUACAUCCAUUUGAGGGACAAGCUUUUUCGGACGGAGGGAGUACAAC